CUCCGGCUUGGUUAGUACUUGGAUGGGUGACCGCUUGGGAAUACCAAGUGUGAUAAGCA
rnacentral:rRNA from 1 species